rnacentral:lncRNA from 1 species
GUUGGGUGCGGGGCGGCUUCGCCGGAGGAACAGGCUUCGGCGCCUCUGUCGCUCCGGAUGAUGAGCCAGCAGUCAGGUUCCACGAGACGCCACCUCCGUGGCCAGUGGUCUAGACACACAGAAAGGCGGUGCCAGGCAGCUGCCUCUCACGUUGGAGACUGGUUGUUGAACUAAGGUAGCACACUCAUAAGAUGAAAUUGAAUUUUUUUAUACUAAUAAAUUUGCGAUAUUAGUAUAGAUUUUUAUGAAGGCAUCUUUACUUUAGUGUGGUAAUCCACGGGUUUCAAGUAAUAAUAACGUUAAUUAUCAGACGUGAGUGGGCGACUCCGUACUUUCCGACCUAUCACACGAGACCAUGGAAAGCCCUCAGCCAGCUGUUUCACGUUUGCCAGGUGAUGCAAGGCCCACAGGGACCUGAGGAAUCAGUGGCAUCUGCUUUGGAAACAGAGACAUUUAUGCAUCACUGGCUUAUUGCAAUUCUGGGCAUAGAAAUUACAUGGCUUGGUUAUUUUUUAAAAGGUCAUCUAGGAGAUUUAGGAUAUGCUUAUCUCAGUUUUAAAGACUGUCAUCCAAAAUACAACAUUUAAAAUGUAGAAUAUGGGCCGUGGAUUUAGCUCAGUGGUUCCAGCGCCUGCCUUGCAAAAGUGCAAGGUUCCGAGUUCAACCCCCUGUACCAACAACAAAAAAUGCUUAUCGCUUGUCUCAGUUUUAGAGAUUGUCAUCUAAAACAUUCAAAAAUAUUUUUAAGAAAUCUGGGCUCAUUGCAAUUUGAAAAGGCUGCCAGUGUUGUUUCUGCAGAGACAAAGUUCCAUCUGUUUCUCCCGGGACAUGGAUGUUCCCAUAAAACACCAGAUUGAUCCCCCAAAUCUUGAUGGCAUGGUCAUGCUAACAUAUCUGUUGCAAUUACUAGUUACAAACCUUAUCUGAAAGAUCCAUUUUGCAGGACAUGUUUAACAUUUUAAAAGUAUAUAAAAUACUGUCCCUGCUUUCUGAUAGUUAGCAAUCCUGCUAUUGUCAUCCAUAAUAAAACUAUUAUAAUGCCUUAUCAAAAUAGAAAUCAAACAGGCUGGGAAGAUAAAUAAAAGCCAAUUGAAAACUAAUACUAAAAUACAUCCAACUGAGUAAAAGUCCCCUCAGGGUUUCAAAAAGAAAUUGACAAUAUAUGAUUCUAAAUUUAUGAGAGAUAGGAAAGGCCAAGAAAAGCCAAGACGUUGUUAAAGAACAAAAUAAUAAGAGAAGCUAUACUUUGAAUAUAGAGGCUCACCCUAAAGUGACGGAAUUAAGGCAGUACUACUGAGCCCGGAACAGCAGACAGACCAGUGGAAAAGAUCAGAGUCCCAGUCUGGAGCCUCCUGUGUGGGCGUGUGCUCUCUGGCAAAGAACGUAAUGUUAAGUAUACGGGUAGAGCCAGGCACGGUGGCACAACCCUGGAAUCUCAGCACUCUUACACCUCACCUUCCCAAAGGACUGCAAGUUCAAGCCUAGCCUGGGAAAAUUAAUGACUUCAGAUCUGUCUCAAAGUAAAAAAAAAAUAAUAAUAAUAAGGACUGGAGGUGUAGCUCAGUAUGAAAGCCCUGGAUUCAACGCCCAGCACAGAAAAAGGAGCAAACAACAUUUAAAAGUAAAUGGCACUAGGUCAUUGUGGUAGCCAUGUGAAAGAAAUUUUAAAUUGGCAAUUUUUUAUUUGAAGACAUUUUCAGUGCUUUUAAGUAAAUAUUAAUAGGAUUGUGUCAUAUUUCGAUACAUUGAAGCAUACCUUAUACUAGCCACAAAAACAAUUUAAGAAUGUAGCUUUAAAUAGGAAUGUUAAAUACUUUUAUAAGUGAUAUUUAUGACCUUGAGUAGGGAAAGAUUUAAGCAGAUGGCAAAAAGCAGCAACUACAAAGGAAGAUACUAAUAAAUUCUUAAUUUAAAUUAGUUCAAUUUAUCAAAAGAAACCAUUAAAGUGAAGAGGCCAGUCAGAGUAGAUAUAUAUAACACACAUAACUGGCACAAGAGUCUCAUCCAAAAUAUGUAAAGUAGUCCUAUAGAUCAGUAAGAGACUGAAAAUCUAAUAAAAAGUGAGUCUAGAACCUGAACUCUUGAUUUGCAAAAGGUACCCAAAUGGCAUCUUAAGCAUGUAAAUCCAGAUUCAGCUCACAAUAAGAUACUACCCUCCUGAAUCGCCAGAGUUAAAGACUGACAAUUUCAAGUGUUGGCAAGGAUAUGGAGCAGUGAGAACUCUUUACUUCCAGCUGGGAGAAUAUUGUGCUUUCAUUGUACUCCAGCUCUAAAGAUGAGCAUAUUCUAGGAGAGCACAGGUACAUCAAAAGACAUGUACCUGAACGGAGGUAGCAUUAUUAGGCAUAGGGGGGGAAAAAAAAAACUUGAAAAAAAUCUCAUGAAAUACAGUUGCCAACUAUAUCCACUGUUGUCACUUAGCACUACCUGGUGUCAUCUGGUGACAUCAGGGCUGCUAGCCAAGCUACUUUUCUCAAUUCACGAUUUCCAUCCGAACUGAGCAAAAAGCCCUGGGCUGAUUGACAACCCUCCCCCAAUUCCAUGUUGCCCAGGCUGGCCUUGAACUCCUAAGGCUCAAGGGCUGCUCCUGUCUCAGCCUCCCGACAAACCGGACUACAGGCAGAUUCCAGUGCUUCCAGCUGAUGGACCAUUACUUUCAUCAGCUUAAAUUCUGGUUCCAGGUUUGUUUCAUUUUGAAGCAGAGAGCUAUAUUCCAGCUAAAAUUUCAAAAUACUGGUAUAUCAUUAGUGACUGCAUAAAAAGUAAGAAUAGAAUGGGGCAUAUAGUUUGUAAUAUGAAAAGUCUAGGUUUUAUGUGAAAUUUCCCCUCUCGAGAGUUUAUCGUGUUUUAUAAAUUUAAAGCCCACGGGGCCAUUCAAAGUGAAGACAGCUCUAGAGCCCGAGGCCAGUGCUGCGUGCACCCCGUUUCAUGCCCCCCCCCCACGACACAGCAGAGCGCGCCACGGGCCUCAGGCAGAUGGGCUGUUUCCUCGCGAGAUUUAGAGAAGCCUGGAGACCUCCUGCUGCUCGCCUUGCACGAGCGUCUCUCCCCACCACACAGUCCAGGCUGCGCUUGAGUCUCGGAGACGUUCAUCCUGGGUUUGUUAGAUACAGAUUUCCAGGGCAGAAAGCGGCCGCCACCCAGGGUCUCCUGCCGGCCACCCGAGAGGACGGAGCAGAUGACCGGUGCUCUGGGGAGGACUCGUCACUGCUGGGCCGGGGGAAGAGGAGCAGGAGGCUGGGUCUCCCGGACUUCUCAGAGCCCUGGCUGGUUCCCGGGGACAGCCCCUCGGCACGGUGUGACAUUCCUCAGAAGAUGCAUUUUACCUGCUGAAAUGGCCUGGGAAUUUUUUUCUCCUUCCUUAGAGGUAACUGCAGGGAAGAGACCGACUUUGUACCAAAGCAUUUGUUACAGUUCUCCUCUACUAUGAGGUAUGCAGAACGCAGGGAUUGUGUCCAACGGUGACGAAAAAUGGAAGUGCAGACAGAAGGGUGCGCGUCCUGGAACUCCAGACACGGCUUGCGUACAGCAGCGUCGGGGAAGUCCGGUUUAGCCUCAAUUUGAUAACAUGAACCCAUGAACCCAUGAACCACGGACUUGGGCCUUUUCCUGGCUUCUCCCACCUGACCAACAGCCUUGAGCCGCAGCCUCCUUCCGAAGGCGCGCCCUGAGGUUCCUGUCGCCCACCGCCUUUGUCACCUCCCUGCCUCCCGAGACCGUCACACAGAGGGACUGCCCUGCAGAGACCAUCACCCGGGCACACACUACCCUGGCUGCAGGAAGGAGUUUGUUCGCAAGCGCCGGCACACAGCUGCUUCCUUGUACUUCCUGCGGCCCUCGCAGUUGGCAGAUCUAAGAAAUGUGAG